GUUUUUCGUUUUAUCGUUACAGGUGGUAUAGAAUGUCUUCGAAUAGAUCAAUCCAUUAGAUGAGGAUAAAAAGGUGCGGAAGGUCAAGUGCAACCUUAGCAACGUUGACUGUGUGCAGAUGUGUCUGCAUGGUCAAGACGAGAACCGGAAACCUGAGCGCAGCACAGCGGCUUGCUGAGUGUAUCAUCUUUUAGGUUUAUGGUCCGCCAACAAAUGUUAGCAGCAGAGGAUUAUCUGGUGAGAUCAAACCAUAAAACAUGCAGUACGAGACAGUUAAAUUUGAAAUAACUAAAUACGCGCCGAAUUGCAAUCGGAAGUCAAAAUAUAACGUUUGAAUCAAAUUGGUACAAACGUUCUAUUGGGGCGGGGCUUGUCGGUUCAGCUGAGGUACCUCGCGCAUGGCUAGCCUGCGUAGAAAUGGGUCACCGAAGUUCGGCAGAGCUAACACCUACCAAAUGCCUAUGCGAGUUAUUUGCAUGUACAGUAAACAAUAAUACUGAGAAACAUGGAAACAACUCAAUUUGUAAGAUGCGACCGCGUGGUCCCGUUUGGCUGGUUACACACACACACACACACACACACACACACACACACACACACACACACACACACACACACACACACAAUUUAUAGAUUCUACCUAGGAUUGCGCGAAUCGAAGAGUUCUUUCUGUUUAGUGGACGAACUUAAAAAGGGCACUAAAUGUAAAUAUGAAAUUUACCGUCAUGAAGACACAGCAACUAAUAAAUCUCCCUUUUUAGCUUUGAGCUGAACCACAGUACGAACUAAGACUGCUUCUUUGAUUGGCCCGAACUAAUACCGCUAACAAAAAGACUUUUGUGGAAUUGAGAAAAUCAAGGUUUAUUUCAACGCAAAAUCGUCGUUGAUUAUAUUCAACAAAAUUUUUGUUGAUUCAUACCUCGUACAGGCUGUUUCUACAAAACAUUUUUCUGCGUGAUCUCUUAAUUUUUAUGUUUUACAGCAUCAUUCAUGGCGCACCGAGUUGAUUAACUCCGGAAGCCAACAGGCAACAAAAGUGGUUUUUACGGGGCGUUGCCAUCCAAGAGUGAAAUCAACAAAUACUUCCGGAAUUUUUCGCAGAUUUACCAUCAUUUUAUCUUUUUAUUUCUCCGUAUUCAGCUCUUGACACCCGUCGAUGGCCCUCCUGGAAGAUGACCGUCCCGCCGGAACCAUCACCCAUCGAAAUGUCCACUGGUAAAAGGACCAUCGGAAACAAAUGAAUGCGACCGCUGACGGUAUUGCCGGUGGAGGCUAACAGGAAAGCAAGGAAGGACUACUUGCUCCCUCGAUAAUCCCGGCCGCGGUCAAGCUUGUAGAACAGAUCAAGGUCCCGUUCACGGUAUCACUGGCCGCCCUUGGAUCGAUCAAUUAUUUUGCGGAAAACAUUAACCAUGAAGAUCAUCAAGCCGCUAGUUCACGUCCCGGAUGACCAUUCCGGUCAGGUGCAAUCUGCCGCCCUGUAAAUUCUCUGUUCGAUUAUGGUCUUCGCAACUUGGCGCAGCGGGGAAAGUUGCUGUACGAUGGACAAACUUUGCUAUUGCUUGACUCGACCACGAGUAUCUGCCGUCGUUCCGCGGAUGGGAUGCGUAUGCGUUCGCGAUGCGUAACAGUUGAUCGAAGCCCCGCUUCGGAAGAAUAUUAAGAAAACUUAAAGGUUGGGACGGGAGGUUCGCGGCUGUCAAACCGUUUGUAAUCGAGCCGGAUUGUGAUUGAGAGGGAGUAAUCUUGACCGAACCAUGAAUCCGAAUCUGUUUCCGCCACCCCUGGCUCAGGGUGCCAUCGACCUGCUGCAGGAGAUGCUCCUCGUGAGGCCAUCCGGGCCGACUUUACGCUGAACCAGGAAUUUAUGGACCAGCGUCGGGAUCUGCUGCUGGUUUUGGAACAAGGCAAGUGCGACGCCGACGCGGCUCGCUUUCGCAACACUGACAACCGGCUCUAUCUGGACGGGAAGGAUGGGGAAGCUUUGGUAUGGUGCUUCGCGGAGAAGGAGACGGACCGUCUGGUCACGGGAUACGGGAAUCGGUAGAGCGGGAGGCGUGUAUGGUUUGAUUGAGGUUAGGUUUUGAGGCAUGUUUUUGAAUUUGAAGGUCGGCGGUUUACUUCGAGCAGGGCGAUUACGAGUUUGCACUGUACAACAUCGAUCUGGCCAAGAAGCAUGAUUAUCCGGAAAAGAUUAUGCCGAAGCUGCGGGUCAGAGAGUUGAACUGCAAGCAGCAGAUUGCCGCUGGCCGUUCGUAGGGCACGGUUCCAAGUCCGCGGAUGGACAUUAAUGUGGACACCAACCCGAAGAUUCCCUUCCUGGCCAAGGGAAAAAAGGUUGAUCACCGGCGAAUCCUGGUCGCCGAAAAGGACUUUAAUCCGGGGGACGUGAUUAUGGAUGCGGAACCGCUGCUGACGGCGAUUGACUUCAACCUGUGCUACGAAAACUGCAGCCACUGCGGAGUCAAGUUCAGCAACAGCUUGAUUCCUUGCCCGGGCAGCGUCUUCUUCAUGUACUGCGGCGAGGAGUGUCGGCAGAAGAGCUGUGGCAUCAAUUCGAAUGUCCGGUGGCCAAGAAGCUGCGCAAUUUCUCCAACUUCAAUCUGCUGAGCACUCCGCGUCUGUCUACGGUCUUUCUCUGUUCGAUGACAAUUUGGCCGAGCUGAAGCGGGUCUGCGAGGCGAAUUAGGGCGCAGAGCUGAACCGGUUCGAGUUGGAUUACAGCAACCUGGACCGACGUGAACUGUUCAGAAUUCUGCACACCACGGAAGCUCGUCGCGACCCGAUCGGAGAGUUGAACGGCUACUUGGAGCAAAAGCUGAUUUCUUACGGUUACUUCUUGGUGUUCCAAGCAAAUCCACUGAUGAUAACGGUCACCACUGGCUGUCGGAACUUUACGAUCCAAACCUUGAACAAGUUCGCUCGCCUGGCCCCACCCUGCUCUCAAAAAACCGCGACUAUCUCGCGCAUCAUUUCCUGGAUCUUUUCAGCCAUCCCCGCCAACAUCCACACGUGCGAUCCGAACGCGCAUACGGCCUUCGAAUCCGGUCGCAUGAAGAUGGUGCUGCUACGACCGGUUCCUGCUGGCAAACCCUUCGUUGAGGUCGUUCGGACCAACCUGGUGGAGUUCCAACCCGGAACCACACCCCCCAGGAAUGCGCUGUAUUUUAGAUACUAGAUUAGUGUGGUUUACCGGACGGUGACGCGGGUGCGAGAUCGACUCGGAGCGAAGCGAAGCUUUUUCGUACGCCAACCAAACCAUUAACGAAGUACUCGACAGGACGGAUAGGUUUCAGUAAAAUGACAGCGUGCACAGUGCUAGCAAUCGGUGUGACGAUCAGGACCAGGCACUGCACAAACAGAGAUGCAUUGACAUGGAGGUGAUUGUUCCGACGCCAGACUUUAUCGGGUGGAAGGCAUCUGCACAUUCUGAGCAGUGGGCUGUCUUUCGGCCACUCCGCCUACAUGCCGGAACAGAAUUUGUACCUUGUUACCAAACACUGGCUGCUGGCCACAAUUGACACGAUGACCAGAUAACUGCCGGUACAAUGAUUUGUUAGGUCAUUUUAAUGUUUUUUUUUUUCUUGAUUCUAGGUACAAGCAGUGAUCCAAGGCUGGCUACGCUGAUCGCAUCGCACGUGGUCCUUGAGUGGGGCAUGGUCAAGCAAGUUGGCCUGCGAAAAAUCAAGCUUUCUAAGCUUUCGCGCCCCUACGAUAGCUACAACCGUCGCAAGAGCAUCCUGAAGCAGCACGCCAGCACAAUUAGAACCUGAAGUUAACGAAGAAGCCGCGUAGAGGAGCAUUGUGGAAUUUAUUUUGGAACCGCUGAGCAAGCUGUUGAUGCAGGUCGUUGGAGAUGUGGAUACCAAGGGGAAAACCACUCUGAUCAAAGUGCCUGGGGCACACAUCGGGCACCUUUGGGCACACAUCGGGCACCUUUGGGAACAUUUCUAGGCACCUUUCGGCUCAUUUGACAAUUGAGAAAACUAUCAAAACAUCACAGCAAUCCAAAGAAAAUUUAACAAGAUUUUAUUGUGUUAUGGAUUGGUUUGGUUUAGAAAGUGACAUCUUUCCAGAUUUUAAAAUCCCUGGAAUUUGAGAAUUAUAUUUGUCAAACUACAGAUUUCGUUUCAGAAUCCGGUUCCAUGCCACAUUGCCACAGAGGUGGAGGUUGAUUCUGGUGUCAUUCUUUUCGGAAUGAUGCUUUGCUCUGACUUGCCCAAAAAUUCCCGCCAAUACUAAUAAGAAGCUAUCUUUGCAAUGAUGGCGUGUUAGCUGCAGCUAAUUCCAGAAUUGGCGAUUUUUUGUUGGUCACAGAAUCGCUGUCCAGCUGAAAUCUCUUUUCGAAUUUUUCCAGCAAUCCGUAUGACCAUAUUCGUGAAUUGACCCCUCUUUAAAAUCAAAAUGUGUGUCUCCACCCAGGUCUUAAGAGAAUGAAAACGCAAACUGGCCUAUUUUUCAUUUAUUUUACGUGCCGGGGUUCAGGCCCCCUGAGUCGGGCAGGACUUUACAAAUAGUGUAUGGUUCAACAAAUAUUCUGUUUAAUAAAAAAAAGUCGUUCGAUGGUUACAAAGGAUUUUUUUAUAGCGACUCUUGCGGUUUUUGUUGAAUAAAUCUUUUAUUUCAUGUUUGUCUUGAACAAAUUCUUUCUUCAGGGCUGUAACCAUCGAUGACGGGGAAGGCUCUCAGUAUUGUCGUGACUUUUGCCCGAUUUUCACUCGAAUUUCAAUAAUUUCGGAUACAAAUAACAACACACGUCAUUUCAUGCCCAAGCAAAACACACGACUGAUUUAUUUCUCGUUUUCUCACGCACACAUUCUCAACUUCUCUCUCGGCUGACCUGCUCUCUCAUUACGAUACAUGAACGCUCUCUCUUCUCACUCUCUCUCUCUUCUCACUCUCUCUCUCUCUUCUCUGCCACACUCAUUCACUACAUCCUCGUUCUUUCCUACUCUAACAUCAGCUUGGUGAUCCUUUUAUGCGAGAAACUCAGCUCAUCUCAGAAUUCGGCUUCAGCAGAUGCUUCUCCGGUAUCCUUGAUCGUGACACAUAUCAGCCAGAACCCCAACGUCAACGUGGUUACCUGCAAUUAAAGAAGUAAAAAAACGACAACUUGGAAAGCUAACGUGUAAUUAAUUGAUUGAAUAAUACACCUACAAUCUUCCAGAAAUUCUAUUAGGAGCUCUGAUUCAAGUCGUGUAGGUUACAAACCUAUCGUAUCUUAAAUGAUCACAUCGAAAAAAUUUACCUCUUAUUAAAUCAUGUGCACGAAUUUAAACCUGUCUAUUCAUAAAUAAUUUCUCAAAGAUAUCUGAAAAAGGUCCUUCCAAACUUUUCCAACAAUCGAUAAUAUUUAUCUAUUAAUAUAUCUUCCCUGAAUCCAAUUAUAAACUCAAAUUUUAGUCGUGUAGGUUACAAGCCUAUCGUCUGUUAAAUCAUCACUUCAGCUUGUUCAGCAAUCGAUAAUAUAACAAUAUUUUCCAUGAAUUUUGAAUAUUUCGGACACAAAAAUAAGCUCAAAAUUAGGUCGUGUAGGUUAUGAGCCUGUCGAUUCUUAAACCAUAGCUUAACAAUAUAAAAAAUCUGAAAAUUCCAACUUCUCCAACAAUCGAUAAAAUUUAUCUUUUAAAAUCCAAACAUUAGCUCAAAUUUAAGCCGUGUAGGUUAUAAGCCUAUCGAUUCUUAAAUCAUCACUUCAAAAGAUUGAAACUUCGUUAAAAAUGACAUACUUUUCGAACAAUCGUUUAUAUUUAUCUUUUAAUAUAUCUCCCCGAAUCAAAUCAUUAACUCAAGUUUAGCCUAUCGCAAUCAAGUCUAUACAAGUUAGGGGGACCAAGUCAGCCUUUUGAAAGCUAAAUAGUCCAUAAUUUGUGGAAAAUUUGUGCAAUAAAAAUAAAAUUUGUGCACUGAACUUUUGAGAAGUUAUUAACAAAUAAAAUUUUUACCUACAAGUUGGGCGGACCAAGUCAUUACUUUCAAAAACCAAAAACGUCAAAAUUUGUGGAGAAUUUGUGACACUAUUAAACAAAAUUGUGCAUUUUCAAAAACCAUGAAAAAUUCAAAUUUUCGAUUUUUACCUGCAAGUUGGGUGGAGCAUAUGACCCCCCUUAAAAACCAAGUAUGGCAAAUGGUAGAGAAAAUUUGUGCAAAAUUUGUGGUAUAGUUUUCAAAAUUUGUUCUAAUUUGUGCUUUAUGUAAUUUUCAAAAUAAAGUUUUUGUUUUUCAAAUAACACAUGUCACGCCAUUCACUAUACAACAUAUGCAGCAAGUCGCGCGACACAGACCUCUGUUUCCCAAAGGGUGGGUUGUAGCACGCGGGUUGCAUAACUUCCGGCAGAUUACGCAGAUGUCACCACGAAUCGUUUAGGUGUACGGUAAAGGAAACUAACAUUUUGUGAUUAUUACUACCGUUUCCAUAGAAAAAUCAAUCGAAUAACCAAAAAGAAGUAUAACUGUAAAAAUUAUAUGAAAAGUGAGAAAAUAUACCAAAAACAGAAAGUUGUUUUGUUUUUUGUAUGCAAAUAAUCAUAUCAUAGAUUGGAAUUGAUUAAAACGUUAAAAGUAAAUUUAUAUAUAUACCGUUAAACGGGGUGACUUUGGUAGCCAGGGUGACUUUGAUAGGUUUGAGAUUUUUCCGCUAAAUGAAUAGUACAAAUUUAAUACGUACUGAAUGGUUUAGGAUCAUACUGUCCGUGGUAGAGAAGUCUUCAAAGUACCUCAAGAAGAACUUUUCAUAAAAUUUUUAAAAGUUUAAAAAGUUAGUUAACUAUAAUUAAGAAAAUGUUGAGGAAAAGCAUUAUUUCAAGCUUCUCAAAGUGUCAUGAUUUUUUCAAUAAACAUGAUUUAAAAUCGGAAGACGGAAUGCAUUUUCGAAUUCUUUGGACUAUUUUCCACUAGGGGAAGGUAAAAUAAGUUUGUAAAUAAUAAAUAGACAAAUCCAGCGAAAGCUCAACGCUGCUUUUUGAUGGUGAGAGAUUUGACAGCUCCCAUACUAAAUGUCUCGAUUUUCAUACUUUUUGUUAAUUUUCUUCUAAAAUAAAACACUUAACAUAUGAAAACUAUAUAUUUUUGGUGCCCAAAAUUCCUGCUGAAUCGAAUGGUGUACUUAUCUCAAUUGCAAAUUUUUCGAACAGUUUUUAUUUUAAUAAUAUUCUAGACACAUUUUGUGCACCUAAUCAAUCAAUACUUUUAUCAUAAAUAAUCAUUUUAUUGCUUAAAAAUUAAGUUUUCCUGAGCUCCCAUAUUCAAAUACAUGGAAGCUGUCAUUUCUAACACCAUUGGCCACCUAGCGGCCAUUUCAAACUGGAUACGUCUAUAAUAUGUGUGGGAUAUAUAACGAGGUGAUACAAUGCACGCAAAAUCCACAUAACACAGAUCUGUGUAAAAAAUUACACAGAUUGUAGAACAUGUUCUAGCUGUCAAAACUGUGUAGUUUUAUAACACAGAUCUGUGUAAAAAAUUACACAGAUUUUCGAUCAGCUUUCGUUUCAAAUCUGGGUAAAAACCAAAAAACUUAAGAUGGCGACUUUCAUGCAGCUCCGAGAAACUUGAUUUUUUAUCAUUUCGGCCAUCGGUUCCAAUAAGAAUCAGUCCUAAAUUGGAUUUUCAACUUUUCAGAUCGGUAGCUUUUCUCUUGGAUGUCCUACUUCGUGUGCGGCAGAAGCGCCAGGCUUGCCCGCUGCGAAACUAUCCACACCAGCUAUUCCAGAGGAGGAGUUCCGAAGACAACACGAGCAAACGGAUACUGCGGCUCCUUCAAAUGUUUCAAAAAAUCAAAUGUUUAUUAUGUUUAAAAUCUCAGACUUAAGCUAAUAAAAUGUGCUUUAUUUUUAAAAUAUAUGUUCAAAAUCAUCUUCCGAAUCAAAACCAUAUUUUAUAUUCUACCCAGAUUCUGUGUAAAAUUUUACCCAGUUUGUUUAAUAAAAAUUACACAGAUUUGACAGACAGCGGCUGUACACAGAUCUGUGUACACGCAAAAUCCACAUAACACAGAUCUGUGUAAAAAAUUACACAGAUUGUAGAACAUGUUCUAGCUGUCAAAACUGUGUAGUUUUAUAACACAGAUCUGUGUAAAAAAUUACACAGAUUUUCGAUCAGCUUUCGUUUCAAAUCUGGGUAAAAACCAAAAAACUUAAGAUGGCGACUUUCAUGCAGCUCCGAGAAACUUGAUUUUUUAUCAUUUCGGCCAUCGGUUCCAAUAAGAAUCAGUCCUAAAUUGGAUUUUCAACUUUUCAGAUCGGUAGCUUUUCUCUUGGAUGUCCUACUUCGUGUGCGGCAGAAGCGCCAGGCUUGCCCGCUGCGAAACUAUCCACACCAGCUAUUCCAGAGGAGGAGUUCCGAAGACAACACGAGCAAACGGAUACUGCGGCUCCUUCAAAUGUUUCAAAAAAUCAAAUGUUUAUUAUGUUUAAAAUCUCAGACUUAAGCUAAUAAAAUGUGCUUUAUUUUUAAAAUAUAUGUUCAAAAUCAUCUUCCGAAUCAAAACCAUAUUUUAUAUUCUACCCAGAUUCUGUGUAAAAUUUUACCCAGUUUGUUUAAUAAAAAUUACACAGAUUUGACAGACAGCGGCUGUACACAGAUCUGUGUACAAGGCUUCUACACAGAUUCUGUGUAUUCCAGGUUUUGGGCAAUCUGUGUCAAAUUUUACACAGAUCUGUGUUAUGUGGAUUUUGCGUGUGAUUUAUGAAAUUUAAGUAUUUUAAAUCAAAUCCCAGAUCGAAAGUCCGUAAACCCACGAUGUUUUGUAAGGCAACGAUGUUUUUCGAAAAUUUCGAUGAACUGUAUGCUGCGCGGUAGAGUAAAAGAGAAGGCAUGAUUUUGAUUUUCAUCGAAGUUUUGCAAAGCAUGCUCUCUCGCUCUUUCGCGAUUGCGAAAAUUUCGGAAGAACUGUCAAACUGCCAAACAACCAUCUUGCUUUUGGACAUUUUUUUUCAAGUCGGGAAAAUGUCGGAAGAAAUUUCAGCUUUACGGUGAGUCAAUUCUUGUAUUUCUGAGUAAAUUUGAUUAAUUUAAAGUUCUCCUUAUUAAAGCCGUGCCGAUCUGCUGCUAAACAAAAACAAGUCCGUAUCUGAAUCGCCCACCGGAACCUGCCGGCAAGUGCUGACCCUCGAAAGGACAAGCUUUGCCGGAGAUGCCAGCUGAGCUCAGGAAAAUGGGUCACGGUGUUCAAAUGAAUUUCAACUCCAAAGAUGCUCCCGGAACCUGGUCCAGAUCAUUUGCAAGGCAGUCAGCCCAUUAGCCCUGGUCAGUUCUCCCAGCAUGAACCAUGCAAAUCUCCGGAAGGACAUACGGGACAUUCACUAAGAGGAAAAGCUGGGAACACUGCGGGAAAGUCUAUCAGCAAGAACCUGCCGGCUUUCUGGUGCGGAUAAUCUGCAGAUUCGUCGACAAUACUGCAUGGCCAGGCAGAUGAGAAGGUUCAAGUUCGACGGCUGUUUCCGGUCUUAGCAAAAUGAGAUCAAGGAGUAGAGAAACUGCACCUUGCCACUGUUCCGGAAACAACCAGUCGAAAUGCAGGAACUGGUCCAGCGAGGAGUUGGUUUCCGCCUCGUCCCGACGACGUGAAGGAACCGAUAAACGAUGGACCUGGCCAAUAACCUCCCCGUCCGUUGACCACAAGAGCGAAAUAACCAUGAUUUUUGUAAGUUUUUCCGAUUUUUGGUAAUUUCGUUAUAGUAACUGUUGAUUUUUUUAUAUAGAUUCUUCACAGACCGAUAAUAGCUUGCAAAACGGGCGUGCGCUUGAACCUGCCCUGGAAACGGCAAUUUGGACGUCGCAAACGGUGGCAUACGCAAUACGAAUGCGUCCAGGUUCGGUUGACGAGGACCGAUUCACGUACUUGUCCAUAACAAGCGGUCCAACGCGGAUAGUUCGCCAUACUUCAGAACCACUUCAUCGGAAACAACGGUGGAACCAACCUCCCGGGGCAUCAGCUGCUGAGUUCGAACCGGAAACGGCCUUGCUUUGUGCCACUUCUUUUUCCGAGCAAAAUGUGAAAGUUAGUGGUGUCAAAAGCCGCGACGUCGUGUCUCACAUGAUGCUUCCGCUAUGAUAAUGGUUCCGUGACAGUAAUCAUCACACCAACAAAAUCCCGGUUAACAUGAGUGAGGUACCGUCCACGAUAGUGACGAGAUGGACACAAGCAAUGCGUCGGCAGUAAGAAUGCCGGAAGUUGAUCCGUUUGACGUGGACAUUCGCAAGCUGCACGAUCGUUAGAUGAGGCCAGGUGGAAGUUCCGGAUCGGCCUCCGUCGGACGGUUAAUUUUGUCGGGACCGAUGAACGACGACUGGGACAAUCGUGGAAUGCGAAAUAACAGUGGCGUCGGAGGCGGAUACAACAGUAUCCCCCCGAGCUUCGUCUCGGACGGCUACGGUGGCAGUACAAAUCAUCUUCAAUCUCAACGCAGUCAGGUGGUAGAUAUCGUGACCCCUACGGAGAAGGCGAUAAACGAUCGUGGACAAAUGCAACCACCAAGGUUAGCCAAUCAGCAGCAGCGAGACCAGCACCGGGAUCACGACGAUCACCGGCGGAAACUUUCGACGGCGGCGGCUCUGUUCAUGGAACCGAAGGUUGUCGUUUAGCGACCUUUCAUCCAGGACGAGAAGCUGCAGCGCAUCGAUGCUAUCAUCAAAGAAAAGGGCUUGGCCAAGGACGACGAGUUUGACUGCAACCAGAAGCUACAGUUUGUCGGAACCGAGCCCGCCGAAGGAUUUGCCGCCACCAACUAAAGCAACAACAACAAGCAAUGUGAACGCGAACGCCAAGAGCGUGAAUCGGCCGUCCGUCAACAGCAGCCACCCUCGCAAUAGAAUGGCCACGUCAGCAUCGGAGGUAGGCCAAGGAACGUCUCAAGUUGCGUCGCGAAGAGGACCAGCGAAGGGAGAUGGAACGCAAGCAGGUCGCGGCUAGGGAGCUGCAGGAGCUGGAUCAGAAGCUGAAGAGUAAAAAGGAUGAAGACGGAAGACUGGGGUCUUCACCGGUCAAGCCCGUUCAUGAGGAUCAGCAGAACGAACUUCCGCCAAGGUUCAAGAAGCGAAAUCCUUCCGGAAAUAGUCUGUAGGGAAGUUAACCGCAGGGUAGUUUAGGAGAGCGAUCGUUUUAGCAACAUUGGCCGAAAGUCAUUCAACAGGAUGAUGAAGAUGAGGCGGUGGCCGUACAACGCGGCAGUUGAAUUGAGGCAUUUCGGAUAAGCCGCAACGCCAAUACUAGAUUAAAAUCCGGUCCACGUUCCUAGAAAUUCUCACCCCAGCCGCAAUCCGGAAUUGUCACGCGUGACAGCCAUGGCCUUACAGGUGCCCUCGAAACGACGCAGCAUGGAACAGAAUCCAAAAACGGUCACGGCCCUACAAGUGCUUGCAAACGACGGAUUUAAUGCUGCAGAAACGAACCUUCCCUCUGCUGCCCUCCGGAAAUGCCACUCGGGACGACCAUGACCUUCUCAAAAACCUUUCUUUUGGGUGAGGAAAUGACCCCAGCCGGCUUCACUACAAGGUACUCUAGGGCCAUGGCCGAACAUCGAGGGGUCUGCAGCGCUUCCCACCGGAAUGCAGGAAUUGACCUCGCGAGCCGCAACUUGCUAGUCGCGUCCGGUCCCAGCCCGGUGAAGCGUGGUAAAUAAAAACCUGAAUAAACGUAAUUAUUUUCCACAGCGCUUCAAUACCGCAAUUGGCAAAUUGCACGAAACAGCCUCGAUGGUUGGUCAUGGCCCUGCAUGUGCGCUCGGAACGACGGAUUAAAUGCUGCACUUUUAGGCGCUAGGUCAAGAUCACCGGAACCGUUCCACGUUCCUUGCCAAUUCUUUUAAAAAUUUCGGUAAUUUUCUUGUGACACUUUCGUCCACUUUAAGUUCAAUUGUUCUAUUUAAAUAGGUUCAUGCAAUCCGAAAUUGCCACGCGGAACGGCCAUGGCUCCAGAAGUUCCCUCGAUAGACGCAUCAUGAAACAGGCUCGCAGGCUUGUCGCCACCGGAAAGAGUCAGCUCGGAACACGCUGGCUGAUCAGCAACAGAUUUGAACGGAGCAGGGGGACAUUCUUCGGCUGUGUAACCCGUCAGAGGCUGGUACGUCGACACAGCAGAGGCGAUCCACGACCUGGCCUUUCGCGAGAAGAAUCCGUGGCAGAAAUGCCAGUGCCAACAUAGACCACAGCUGGAGUGGAACAGAGUGGCCAUCGUAACCACAUUAAUCGCCAAAAUUUCGUCGCCUGAGACGUCCAAAUUGGCUACUACCAGUUCACUGCACAACAGCACGAGCACAACCAGGGCCAAGCCAAAGAUUCCGCCAUUGGGAGGCAGGUUUCCGGACUUCUCAAUGUCAGAGAGAAGCGCAGAAGCGACGACAUGUUUUGGCCAAUCUGCUAAACGACUGAUACCUUCCUGCCGAGCCGAGGAAGCCCUAGAUAACCGCCAAAAGGGCCACUCUCUGAAACGCGACUCUCUAAACAAUGGCACGUCGAAAGAACCGACCCGGCGGGUGGGUAACAAUGCGAUCCAGAAUCCGGAACCGUUGGUCGCAUACCACCUCGUGAAUGCUGGCCAGCUUGGUGAUUCCGGUGAUCGCCGAACGUCGCGGCGUCAUUACAGUGUAGCUGCGGAAGAUGAUUCCGUGACGGCGGACAUCUAUGUUAGUCGAGGAUGAUGAGAAGCACAUGGACUGCGCAAUCACUCCAACUUGAACUCGCCGGUUCCGGUUGAUCCAUGUGCACUCUACCGUGCACCCGGACUAAUGACUCCGACCAUUUGAAGAACCGUAACACCGGCCAGCCUCAACUUCUGCCGCCGGCCAGACACUCUCGAUGCACGACUUGACUGUUCUAAAGUACUUAAGAUGCAGUUCACCGGCUCAGCAAGCUGCUCAACUGCAAAGCGGUCAUGCUCCGAUCUGUUCCAAGGGCGUCCCUCACCGGUUCCAGGGGCGAGAACGACGACGGUGGGACGAUAACUAGCAGCAAUAAGAAUGGAGAUCGCUUUUUGCAGUGACUUCGAGCUGGUCUACAACCAACCCCAAACCUGGAAAUCUGCCCAGUCCUUGGCCUGUUAAGCUCCCCUUUGUGUUGGGCUAGUUCAAAAAAAAGUUCAUCGGAACACACGGGAACAAGGAGGAGACUGUAACACUUGGGGCCGCUCAAAUCGUGGGUGGCCAAUCGGAACUCGGACGGACUGAAAUUAUCGGGUGUCAUAUACCAGCAACCUCCAAGGCGAGACCGGCGAGACUCUUCGUCGGCAGCGGCUCCGUUUAUGAAGCCGGAGAUUGUCGUUCAGUGGCCCACCAUCGACCGUCAGUCAACCGCCAUCUCCCUCGCAACAGAAUGGCCACGCCGGCGUCGGAGGUCGUGGACUGGACGCCAAGGCCAAGGAACGUCUCAAGUUGAUUCGCGAGGAGUACCAGCGAAGAGAGAUGGAACACAAGCAGGCCGCGGCCAGGAUCGAGGUUCUAGAAGCUUAAGCUAGUGCGAAAUCCUUCCGGAAACAGUCAGCAGGGAAGUCAACCGCAGGGUAGUGGUUGCGGUGGUCGGGUUCAAACCAAUAGGCACCGCCAGCAACCAUCGUCGACGCUUUCGGAGAGCGAGCCUAAACAGAUUCUUGGGCGGAUCUAGGAAAUUUCGGACAAGCUGGAGUCAUCAAUGGUGGUGGAGCAAAAAGUCAGCGAACCUGAGCAGCUUUUGUCGAGGCCUUGGGAAGAUUUGGUAGAAGCUGCGGAGGAAUCGAGCUAGUCACUUGACGUGUGCGCAACCUCGUUGGACCAGAUGACGACAAAACGGGCGAUUCCGGAUCGGAUGCUGGCAAGAUCGACAGUGGUCGUGUGUCUGCGGGUCGUUCAGAUGCACUCGAUUGAGUUCAUGAACAAGGAUCCCAACUGGGGGUACGAACAAAGCCCGGAAGAAUCUCCGGAACCGUGUCCCCCGAAGUUCUUCCCCCAAGAUUCCCCGAAGAUGUUCCUAGAACUUUGCUCUAGUUGCUAUUCGGAAAUGCCACUUGGUACGGCAGUGACGACCUCAAGGUUCCCUCGGAAAGGACAAACUUGCCAGGCGGUCGCCAACCUGCAAGUGCUCUCGAAACGACGCUGGACGAAAUAUGCUCGAUGGACAAUCAUUACCCUGCAAGUUCCCUCGUCACGUCGCUGUAUGGAUUAGGCUCGGAACGCGCAUGGCAACAAUUGGACAACUCUGAUCCUGGAUCCUGAUGGAAGCCGCUGACGAUCACAUAUACUUUUUGCCGAUAUAGUCCGGAACAGGUACGCAGGACGACCAUGGCAUUGCCAGCGACCUUGGAACGACGACAGCUCACAAGUUACUUCGGAGCGACGAGUGGGACGCUCGUCCAGGUCAAGAGCAAAUGGAACAUUCCAGGAACUCGCCCUCCCCUCAAGCGCAUUCCGAAACUGUCACGCCGGAAGGCCACCUCCUUGCAGAUACCUUCGGUACGACGCACCACGGAACAGGAUUGACGGACUUCUGUCGCGAUGCAAGUGCCCUUGGAACGGCCGCUGGACGAACGCGUCCAACUUCAAUUCAACCGAAGCCAGUUCCCCUCGUCCAGAGCAUUCUUUAUGUGUACACCGUUUUUUUUUUUUCGAGAAAUCGUGCCUAAGUUGGUGAUGCGGAGCAGCAAAAUAAAUGAAUUAAAACCUGAAAAUAACUGUUUUAAUCAAAACAAACCCAAUGACAGAUGAUAGAAAAAGAAGAAGAAGAGCACAAAAAAGGGGUUGAUGCGCGUCCGAUUUUUCACCCUUACGUCGUUCUUACAUCGGCCACGCACGUAGGCCUCCCGCGAUGUUCGAACAACCUUGACAGGUUGACGUUUCGGGUGCAAAAUACCUUGAUUCGGGUCUGAUGCGUGUCUCAAAAUCAGACCCGCAUCGGCCCCUGUAGGUCUGAUCGUCGUUCUUACGAUCAGACCCGAUCGGCCCCGUAUUUCUUACUG